AUCAUGACUAAUGUAAAAAAGAAGGUAGAAACACGCGGCUUUCUAGAAAAGGGUAUCCUUUUUGAAUAGAAAUCCAGAGGUAGAGAGUAAAGUACUUAUGGGAAAGGGGCAGGUGGUGAAAGGGUCCUGUGAUUUUUUUUUUAAUAUUUAUUUAUUUAUUAUAUGUAAGUACACUGCAGCUGUCUUCAGACACACCAGUCAGAUCUCCUUAAGGAUGGUUGUGAGCCACCAUGUGGUUGCUGGGACUUGAACUUAGGACCUUCAGAAGAGCAGUCGGGUGCUCUUACCCGCUGAGCCAUCUCACCAGCCCGGGGGUCCUGUGAUCUUGUAGACAGUGUGCAGUUGUCAAUGCACGGAGAUGUGUGCUUUGACUUGUUUGUUGGGUUUGGUUAGAAUGAAUUUUUUUGAAACGGUCUCACUAUGUAACCCUGGCUGGUCUGAAUUCCGAGACCCACCUUCCUCUGUCUCUUAAUGUGAUGGUUAAAGACUCCCACACCAUGUUGAAGUGAGCUUUACUUUUUUUUUUUUUUCUUUUUUGAGCUGUACAUUUUGAAGGGGGGUGGACUGUGCUUUGAAACCAAGACAAAUGAAUUGUAGUGCUAGAGUUGCUUUUUUGAGUUAGGCCUCACUCACUCACUCACUCUGUAGUCUUCCCAAGGCCAGGAGGAUGAGGCUGUUCCCAGUCACACUUCUUUUGCACAUUUCAGAGAAGCUUAGUCUGCCAGCCUGUGCUUUCCCUUCUCUUUCUCUGAAGGGAGGAGUGUGUUUUAGAUACAGUAUGCCUACAUCAGUUUUAUUAAGUUUUCUAGAAGCUUUAAGUUAUGAUUGACAGGAAGCAUGCAGUGCAGUAAGUUUUGACAUGUAUACACCUGGGAAACUGUCAGCACGGGCAAGAGAAACACGUAUGUCAACCUGGGUGUGGUGGCUUACACACUAAUCGCAGCACUUGGAUGACCAAAGCAGAAGGAUCCUCUGAGCUUGAGUUCCACGUCAGCCUAGGCUAUGGAGUAAGACCCUGUCAUACACGCAUGCGCUUUAAAAUUUUCCUUCCAAUGAUGUCUUGUGUAGUUCACUGGCAUUUUCUCAAGGUCCUCUGGGAAUAUCAUGUGUCUCCAGUAGAGUGUGCACUGUUACUAUUUCAGCUUUUACCCUCAUCCUCAGCCCUGCCUUAGGCAAUACAGGGUUUAAUUAUGAGCCACAGAGUAUUCGUAUUGUUAUAUGCCUCAACUUUUAUUGUAACAAAAUAAUUUUUGUUUUAAAAGAUUUAUUUAUUAUUAUAUGUAAGUACACUGUAGCUGUCUUCAGACACAACAGAAGAGGGAGUCAGAUCUUGUUACGGAUGGUUGUGAGCCACCAUGUGGUUGCUGGGAUUUGAACUCUGGACCUUCGGAAGAGCAGUCGGGUGCUCUUACCCACUGAGCCAUCUCACCAGCCCCACAAAAUAAUUUUAUAUACAACAAAAUAAUACUUAAUUUCUAGUUUUGUUUCCUUUGAUUACUGAGGGAUUUAUCUUGGCCAAGUCUAAUUUUAGUCAUGCUUAUUUCUGGGUUUUUCUCUCUUUCUCUCUCUCUCUCUCUCUCUCUCUCUCUCUCUCUCUCUCUCUCUCUCUCUCUUUGGUUUUUCGAGACAGGGUUUCUCUGUGUAGCCUUGGCUGUCCUGGAACUCACUUUGUAGACCAGGUUGGCCUAGAACUCAUAGAGAUCCACUUGUUUCUACCUCCCAAAUGCCAGGAUUAAGGGUGUGCUCCACCACCACCUGACCUUAUUUCUGCUUUUUAAAAUAUGCUAUAUUACCAUUGUCUUAUUACUCUGGAGAGAUACCAUGACAGCUU
rnacentral:lncRNA from 1 species